rnacentral:rRNA from 1 species
AGUGAACGCUGGCGGUAGGCCUAACACAUGCAAGUCGAACGGCAGCACAGUAAGAGCUUGCUCUUACGGGUGGCGAGUGGCGGACGGGUGAGGAAUACAUCGGAAUCUACUUUUUCGUGGGGGAUAACGUAGGGAAACUUACGCUAAUACCGCAUACGACCUACGGGUGAAAGCAGGGGAUCUUCGGACCUUGCGCGAUUGAAUGAGCCGAUGUCGGAUUAGCUAGUUGGCGGGGUAAAGGCCCACCAAGGCGACGAUCCGUAGCUGGUCUGAGAGGAUGAUCAGGCACACUAGAACUGAAACACGGUCAUAAGUACUACAGGAAGCAGCAGUGGGGAAUAUUGGACAAUGGGCGCAAGCCUGAUCCAGCCAUACCGCGUGGGUGAAGAAGGCCUUCGGGUUGUAAAGACCUUUUGUUGGGAAAGAAAAGCAGCAGGUUAAUACCCCGCUGUUCUGACGGUACCCAAAGAAUAAGCACCGGCUAACUUCGUG